rnacentral:lncRNA from 1 species
GAGCAUUCAAGAAAAAAAUUUGAUUGAAGAUUGAGAGACAUGGAACUAAAAUUAAUGUUGCGCAUGGAGCUAAAAUUAGAAAAUGGAAGUAAAAAAGGAAGCCAAGCCAAUUAACAAGCCAAGCCAUCACAUGAAAGCAAAAUUGGAAAACAAAGAUUGCAAACCAAAAGUGGCCACGUGAAAGGAAAGAGAAUAAAGCCUUUUGGCUUUAGGAAAUCAUUAUUGGCUUAUUAAUUGAAGCAUGAGGUGGCGGUUUUGAGCUUGGAAUUUAAUUCUCUCCAGGCAAGGAUUUAAAAAAAGCCACAAUUGAAGCAUUAUAAAUAGGAUCAAGCGGAAGCAAUAGAGAAAAAAGAGAAUUCGAGUAGCAAGAGACUUUGGGAAUGCAGACGCAAUUCGGGCAGAGGAAAAUCAGCAGCUGGAAUUAAGUUAAAGCAAAGGCAGCCGCUUGAAUUAAUCUCCAUGACUAGUUUUAUCAAUUCUCUUAUUCCUAAUUCAAUUAUGUUAGGCUAGAUUUUUAUUUGGUUGAGGGUGAAUUCAAAACCCUAAACAUGCUAUGCAAUUAAAUUUAAAUUUUAUCAUUCAAUUUAUUUAAUUGAGAUUGUUUAUGUUCUUCUAUAAUUAAUGUUCAUGGUUUAUUCUUGUUUUAUUUGAGUAGCCAAUUAGAUAGGACUUGAAUAAAUUUUAUUGCUAGAUUAAAAUUCUUGAUCCGUAAUUGUCUUGAUAUUUUAAUCAUUAGUAGCAGGUUAGAAUUAGUGAUUUCAAUUGGAAAUAUAACCUAGGUUAAAUAAUCUGAAUUUGUGUGUUUAUUGCCUAGAUCAACCUAAUAUCUUUCUUUGUUUAAAUGCUUCCAAUAUCUUAAAUUUAAAGAGCUUGUUUUAAAUUAUUUAAUGGUUAGAGAUUAGGUGAAGAGCUUGUUUUGCCUAACAACACAUUAAGGAAAGAUUGAGACUAACAGAGCUUAUUGUUGUCUACGGUUGAUAGUUUCAAUAUAAAUUGAUAAUAGAAUUGAUAUAUUAUGUGCAUG